rnacentral:rRNA from 1 species
UACGUAGGGUGCUAGCGUUGUCCGGAAUCACUGGGCGUAAAGGGCGCGUAGGCGGCUCAUGAAGGCUGUGGUGAAAGUCCGGGGCUCAACCUCGGAUCGGCCGUGGCGACUCGUGGGCUGGAGCACUGUAGAGGCGGGUGGAAUUCCGGGUGUAGCGGUGGAAUGCGUAGAGAUCCGGAAGAACACCAGUGGCGAAGGCGGCCCGCUGGGCAGUGGCUGACGCUGAGGCGCGACAGCGUGGGGAGCAAACAGG